GUGCCAGCAGCCGCGGUAAUACAGAGGGUGCAAACGUUGCUCGGAAUUAUUGGGCGUAAAGCGCGUGUAGGCGGUCCAUCAAGUCGGUUGUGAAAGCCCUUGGCUCAACCAAGGAAGUGCGUCCGAAACUGGUGGGCUAGAGUCCUGAAGAGGGUGGCGGAAUGCGCAGUGUAGAGGUGAAAUUCGUAGAUAUUGCGUAGAACACCAGUGGCGAAGGCGGCCACCUGGGAAGCGACUGACGCUAAGACGCGAAAGCGUGGGGAUCAAACAGGAUUAGAAACCCCCGUAGUCC
rnacentral:rRNA from 1 species